rnacentral:rRNA from 1 species
AACGAACGCUGGCGGCAGGCUUAACACAUGCAAGUCGAGCGCCCCGCAAGGGGAGCGGCAGACGGGUGAGUAACGCGUGGGAAUCUACCCAUCACUACGGAACAACUCCGGGAAACUGGGGCUAAUACCGUAUACGUCCUUCGGGAAAAAGAUUUAUCGGUGAUGGAUGAGCCCGCGUUGGAUUAGCUAGUUGGUGGGGUAAUGGCCCACCAAGGCGACGAUCCAUAGCUGGUCUGAGAGGAUGAUCAGCCACACUGGGACUGAGACACGGCCCAGACUCCUACGGGAGGCAGCAGUGGGGAAUAUUGGACAAUGGGCGCAAGCCUGAUCCAGCCAUGCCGCGUGAGUGAUGAAGGCCCUAGGGUUGUAAAGCUCUUUCACCGGUGAAGAUAAUGACGGUAACCGGAGAAGAAGCCCCGGCUAACUUCGUGCCAGCCGCCGCGGUAAAAC